UGGGGAAUAUUGCACAAUGGGCGAAAGCCUGAUGCAGCAACGCCGCGUGAGUGAUGAAGGCCUUCGGGUUGUAAAGCUCUGUCUUUUGGGACGAUAAUGACGGUACCAAAGGAGGAAGCCACGGCUAACUACGUGCCAGCAGCCGCGGUAAUACGUAGGUGGCAAGCGUUGUCCGGAUUUACUGGGCGUAAAGGAUGCGUAGGCGGAUUUUUAAGUGAGAUGUGAAAACCCUAAGCUUAACUUGGGGACUGCAUUUCAUACUGGAAAUCUAGAGUGCGGGAGAGGAGAAUGGAAUUCCUAGUGUAGCGGUGAAAUGCGUAGAGAUUAGGAAGAACACCAGUGGCGAAGGCGAUUCUCUGGACCGUAACUGACGCUGAGGCAUGAAAGCGUGGGUAGCAAACAGGAUUAGAUACCCUGGUAGUCCACGCCGUAAACGAUGAGUACUAGGUGUAGGAGGUAUCGACCCCGUUCUGUGCCGCAGUUAACACAAUAAGUACUCCGCCUGGGAAGUACGAUCGCAAGAUU
rnacentral:rRNA from 1 species